UACGAGGGGGGCAAGCGUUGUUCGGAAUUAUUGGGCGUAAAGGGCGCGUAGGCGGUGCGGUAAGUCUGAUGUGAAAUCUCCGGGCUCAACUCGGAGUCUGCAUCAGAAACUGCCGUGCUCGAGUGUGGGAGAGGUGAGUGGAAUUCCCGGUGUAGCGGUGAAAUGCGCAGAUAUCAGGAGGAACACCAAUGGCGAAGGCAGCUCGCUGGGACGGUACUGACGCUGAGACGCGACAGCGUGGGGAGCAAACAGG
rnacentral:rRNA from 1 species